AUUGAACGCUGGCGGCAUGCCUUACACAUGCAAGUCGAACGGUAACAGGUCUUCGGAUGCUGACGAGUGGCGAACGGGUGAGUAAUACAUCGGAACGUGCCCGAUCGUGGGGGAUAACGAGGCGAAAGCUUUGCUAAUACCUCAUACGAUCUACGGAUGAAAGCGGGGGAUCUUCGGACCUCGCGCGGACGGAGCGGCCGAUUGCAGAUUAGGUAGUUGGUGGGAUAAAAGCUUACCAAGCCGACGAUCUGUAGCUGGUCUGAGAGGAUGAUCAGCCACACUGGGACUGAGACACGGCCCAGACUCCUACGGGAGGCAGCAGUGGGGAAUUUUGGACAAUGGGCGAAAGCCUGAUCCAGCCAUGCCGCGUGAAGGAUGAAGGCCUUCGGGUUGUAAACUGCUUUUGUACGGAACGAAAAGCCUCUUUCUAAUAAAGAGGGGUCAUGACGGUACCGUAAGAAUAAGCACCGGCUAACUACGUG
rnacentral:rRNA from 1 species